GACGAACGCUGGCGGCGUGCCUAAUACAUGCAAGUCGAACGCAGUGGGGACGGGUGAGUAACACGUGGGUAACCUCCCAUCAGAGGGGAUAACACUUGGAAACAGGUGCUAAACCGAUACUGAUGGAUGGACCCGCGGUGCAUUAGCUAGUUGGUGAGGUAACGGCUCACCAAGGCCACGAUCCAUAGCGGGCCUGAGAGGAUGAUCGGCCACACUGGGACUGAGACACGGCCCAGACUCCUACGGGAGGCAGCAGUAGGGAAUAUUGCGCAAUGGGCGAAAGCCUGAUGCAGCCAUGCCGCGUGUAUGAAGAAGGCCUUCGGGUUGUAAAAUACUUUUGGUAGGGAAGCGGUACCGAACGAGAAAGCAACGGCUAACUACGUGCCAGCAGCCGCGGUAAUUC
rnacentral:rRNA from 1 species